rnacentral:rRNA from 1 species
AGCGGCGAGUGAAGCGGCAAGAGCUCAGAUUUGAAAUCGCAGCGGCAACGCGGCGAGUUGUAGAUUGCAGGUGGGAGAGUUUGCGGGCGGCGGGCGUCGAAGUCCCUUGGAACAGGGCGCCACUGAGGGUGAGAGCCCCGUGCGAUGCCUGCCCAUGCUUUGAACUCCCCUCUGACGAGUCGAGUUGUUUGGGAAUGCAGCUCUAAGCGGGUGGUAAAUUCCAUCUAAGGCUAAAUACUGGCGAGAGACCGAUAGCGAACAAGUACUGUGAAGGAAAGAUGAAAAGCACUUUGAAAAGAGAGUGAAACAGCACGUGAAAUUGUUGAAAGGGAAGGGUAUUGGGCCCGACAUGGGAAUCGCGCACCGCUGCUCCUCGUGGGCGGCGCUCUGCGCUUUUCCUGGGCCAGCAUCGGUUUCCGCUGCAGGAGAAGGGGCUGUGGAAUGUGGCUGGCACGCUUGCGCGCCAGUGUUAUAGCCACGGGCCAGAUGCUGCGUGUGGGGACCGAGGGCUGCGACGGCAACGUC